rnacentral:rRNA from 1 species
CGGGGAAUAUUGCACAAUGGGCGAAAGCCUGAUGCAGCAACGCCGCGUGAAGGAUGAAGUAUUUCGGUAUGUAAACUUCUAUCAGCAGGGAAGAUAAUGACGGUACCUGACUAAGAAGCCCCGGCUAACUACGUGCCAGCAGCCGCGGUAAUACGUAGGGGGCAAGCGUUAUCCGGAUUUACUGGGUGUAAAGGGAGCGUAGACGGUAUUGCAAGUCUGAAGUGAAAGCCCGCAGCUCAACUGCGGGACUGCUUUGGAAACUGUGAGACUAGAGUGCAGGAGAGGUAAGUGGAAUUCCUAGUGUAGCGGUGAAAUGCGUAGAUAUUAGGAGGAACACCAGUGGCGAAGGCGGCUUACUGGACUGUAACUGACGUUGAGGCUCGAAAGCGUGGGGAGCAAACAGGAUUAGAUACCCUGGUAGU